GUGGGGAAUAUUGGACAAUGGGCGAAAGCCUGAUCCAGCCAUGCCGCGUGUGUGAAGAAGGUCUUCGGAUUGUAAAGCACUUUAAGUUGGGAGGAAGGGUUGUAGAUUAAUACUCUGCAAUUUUGACGUUACCAACAGAAUAAGCACCGGCUAACUUCGUGCCAGCAGCCGCGGUAAUACGAAGGGUGCAAGCGUUAAUCGGAAUUACUGGGCGUAAAGCGCGCGUAGGUGGUUCGUUAAGUUGGAUGUGAAAGCCCCGGGCUCAACCUGGGAACUGCAUCCAAAACUGGCGAGCUAGAGUACGGUAGAGGGUGGUGGAAUUUCCUGUGUAGCGGUGAAAUGCGUAGAUAUAGGAAGGAACACCAGUGGCGAAGGCGACCACCUGGACUGAUACUGACACUGAGGUGCGAAAGCGUGGGGAGCAAACAGGAUUAGAAACCCUUGUAGUCC
rnacentral:rRNA from 1 species